UGGGGAAUAUUGCACAAUGGGCGCAAGCCUGAUGCAGCCAUGCCGCGUGUGUGAAGAAGGCCUUCGGGUUGUAAAGCACUUUCAGCGAGGAGGAAGGUGGUGAGCUUAAUACGCUCAUCAAUUGACGUUACUCGCAGAAGAAGCACCGGCUAACUCCGUGCCAGCAGCCGCGGUAAUACGGAGGGUGCAAGCGUUAAUCGGAAUUACUGGGCGUAAAGCGCACGCAGGCGGUUUGUUAAGUCAGAUGUGAAAUCCCCGGGCUCAACCUGGGAACUGCAUUUGAAACUGGCAAGCUAGAGUCUCGUAGAGGGGGGUAGAAUUCCAGGUGUAGCGGUGAAAUGCGUAGAGAUCUGGAGGAAUACCGGUGGCGAAGGCGGCCCCCUGGACGAAGACUGACGCUCAGGUGCGAAAGCGUGGGGCAGCAAACAGGAUUAGAUACCCUGGUAGUCCACGCUGUAAAACGAUGUCGAUUUUGGAGGUUGUG
rnacentral:rRNA from 1 species